UGGGGAAUAUUGCACAAUGGGGGAAACCCGUGAUGCAGCGACGCCGCGUGAAGGAAGAAGUAUCUCGGUAUGUAAACUUCUAUCAGCAGGGAAGACAAUGACGGUACCUGACUAAGAAGCCCCGGCUAACUACGUGCC
rnacentral:rRNA from 1 species